CUCCCUGAUGUUAGCGGCGGACGGGUGAGUAACACGUGGGUAACCUGCCUGUAAGACUGGGAUAACUCCGGGAAACCGGGGCUAAUACCGGAUGGUUGUCUGAACCGCAUGGUUCAGACAUAAAAGGUGGCUUCGGCUACCACUUACAGAUGGACCCGCGGCGCAUUAGCUAGUUGGUGAGGUAACGGCUCACCAAGGCGACGAUGCGUAGCCGACCUGAGAGGGUGAUCGGCCACACUGGGACUGAGACACGGCCCAGACUCCUACGGGAGGCAGCAGUAGGGAAUCUUCCGCAAUGGACGAAAGUCUGACGGAGCAACGCCGCGUGAGUGAUGAAGGUUUUCGGAUCGUAAAGCUCUGUUGUUAGGGAAGAACAAGUGCCGUUCAAAUAGGGCGGCACCUUGACGGUACCUAACCAGAAAGCCACGGCUAACUACGUGCCAGCAGCCGCGGUAAUACGUAGGUGGCAAGCGUUGUCCGGAAUUAUUGGGCGUAAAGGGCUCGCAGGCGGUUUCUUAAGUCUGAUGUGAAAGCCCCCGGCUCAACCGGGGAGGGUCAUUGGAAACUGGGGAACUUGAGUGCAGAAGAGGAGAGUGGAAUUCCACGUGUAGCGGUGAAAUGCGUAGAGAUGUGGAGGAACACCAGUGGCGAAGGCGACUCUCUGGUCUGUAACUGACGCUGANGAGCGAAAGCGUNNGAGCGAACAGGAUUAGAUACCCUGGUAGUCCACGCCGUAAACGAUGAGUGCUAAGUGUUAGGGGGUUUCCGCCCCUUAGUGCUGCAGCUAACGCAUUAAGCACUCCGCCUGGGGAGUACGGUCGCAAGACUGAAACUCAAAGGAAUUGACGGGGGCCCGCACAAGCGGUGGAGCAUGUGGUUU
rnacentral:rRNA from 1 species